CUUCUAGGAAAGUUAAGGAAUUUCGAAGUCAUAUUUCAAGGCCUCCGUACACGGGAUCUGGGAGGAGGAGCUGCAAUUGAUGACAUUGAAUUUGAAAACUGCAUGACUGUGGGAGAGACUUCUGAGAUUUGCCCAGAGGCCACUGAUUUUUUGUGCCACAACAAGAAGUGUAUUGCAUCCCACCUUGUCUGUGACUAUAAACCAGACUGCUCUGAUGGGUCUGAUGAAGCUCACUGUGGCCAAUAUACAGGCACAGCAGGAAGCUGCAAUUUUGAAACAACUUCAGGAAACUGGACCACAGCUUGCCAUCUUACUCAAGAGUCUCAAGAUGACUUGGAUUGGGCCAUUGGCAGUAGAAUUCCUACAGAAGCAUUGAGUCCAGACCCUGAUCACACACCAGGUAGUGGUCAACACUUCCUGUUUGUCAACUCAUCUGGCCCCAAAGAAGGAUACACUGCAAGAAUCACCACGUCCCAAUACUUCCCAGCAAGCCUCGGAAUGUGUGCUGUUCGGUUCUGGUUCUAUAUGGUUGAUCCCAGGAGCACAGGAGUCUUAAAGGUGUAUACUGUUGACGAAUCUGGACUAAACAUCCUCAUGUGGUCCAUGAUUGGCAAUAAACGAACUGGUUGGAUGUACGGACAUGUUCCUCUCUCGAGUAACAGUCCAUUUAAAGUGGCAUUUGAAGCUGAUUUAAGUGGAAAAGAGAACAUCUUUAUUGCCCUUGAUGACAUCUCUUUUACCCCAGAAUGUGUAUUUGGAGGUCUUGUCCCAAUACAGCCAUCACUGUGUGAAGCUGGUCAGUUUUCUUGUAUCUACGCUGUCCAGUGUGUCCCUCUUGCAAGGAAAUGUAAUGGACAGGAAGAUUGCACAGAUGGAUCUGAUGAAAUGGACUGUCCUAUCAGCCCCCUUCCCCAGCUCUGUGGUCAAACAGAAUUCCAGUGCUCCACCCAUGAGUGUAUCCCGUCCCUCCUGCUUUGUGAUGGAGUGCCUGACUGCUACUUUAAUGAAGACGAAUCUGGCUGCUCCGACAAGAGCUGUUCUCAUGGAGAUUUGACCUGCUCCUCUUCUAACAGCUGUAUCCCAGUGCACAAGCGCUGUGAUGGUUUUGCUGACUGCAUGGAUUUCCAACCUGAUGAAUCCAGCUGCUUAGAGUGUCCAAGAGGUUACUGCAGAAAUGGUGGGACUUGUAUGGUGGAGAAAAACGGUCCAUUGUGUCGAUGUGCACAAGGUUGGAAGGGAAAUCGUUGCCACAUCAAGGUUAACCCACCGACUGCUGAUUUCACGAACACUCAGAACAAUAUAUGGACCCUCCUGGGUAUUGGAUUAGCUUUACUGAUAGCUCAUAUUACACUAGCGGUCUUGUGUUUUCUUGCCAACAAAAAAGUACCAGUAAGAGUUCUAUAUACUCCUUCUCAAAUCCAUUAUAUGACACAAUAUCCGGAAGACUGGAGACUAUAUCUAAUCGUCUCAAAUAGUGCCAUCAAGAUCAUCAAGACUGGGACUUCCCUGGUGGUCCAGUGGCUAAUACUCUGCACUGCUUCUGCAGAGGGCACAGGUUUGAUCCCUGGUCAUGGAACUAAGAUCCCACAUGCUGCAUGGCAUGGCAAAAGAAAAAAAAAGAAAGAAAACAAAAAGAUUAAAUCUAAUCUCAUUUCCAGUCUGUGA
rnacentral:lncRNA from 1 species